UUAAGGUUCCAGAUGUUCAGUCUGCUCUCACGUCAAUCACCACAGGUCCACAGCACCACGUUCGGUCCACCCACAUUGUGUCAACAGGCACGCGACAGAAAUGGCCGAAAUCCGGAUUCCGGAUUUCAUGAUGAACCCCUCAAGUGCAGAAUUUAACCGUUAAAAAUAGCAGAAUUAACCCGUUAAAAAAGCAUUAGGAACCGAAUAAACUGACAGCAGCACACGCACUGAUAACGUAAAGGUAGACGAGGACCAGGAGACGAGGAGGCUAUAGGGCAAACUGCACCCAAGUAAAUGUGUAUCAAGCUCAGGUUUUCAAGCUAACGUUUAUCUGGGACGAGGAGAAGCUGAGAUAUUGUAUAUUCACGACAUGAUGAAAAGUUUAAUCAGGCUUAACCCCGAGCGCAAGAACACUCGGGGGUAUCAACUUCAGGUAAGACCACUUUUGAAAUGCACAUUAGACUACUAGUAGCUGUUGGUUUGAUGGUCAUGCCCUUGCUUUGCCUUUGAAUACGAACUAUGUCGGUGGUCGAUGCUCUUAUCGUGAAGAUAUUUAGUAAAUCUGGCUGUCAUAACUGGGUGUAACAGGGAGAGCGUUCGCCGACUGGGUGACCGACCCUUCCUCCGCCCCGUCUACUCUAAGUGGGAGAUUAGCAGCGGUGCUGAAUAAAUAGGGCACAGGUUUCACGGGAGGCACUCUCCUAUCUUGCUGGGACCACUCGUGGGGAUUUCUUGUCUCUUGUCCCUCCUGCACCGUGUUGCAGAACGUUACAGCCACGGUGGCGUACUGCUCUUCCGGGAUUGUAACACGGCCGUAUACCGGCAUUAA
ensembl:lncRNA